AUGCUCCUAUGUUGUGUUAAGUGUUGGCAGAUAUCUGAACCCCGCCCUAGCGGUUCGGAACUUAAACCCCGGAACUUCUCCCUCCCCAUAUGAAGUCCGGGGCUUUUUUUUGCCUCAAA
rnacentral:sRNA from 4 species